CUCCUGGGACGCUGGCGUUGUCGCCGCCGCAGAGGAAAGCGUGUCCUGGACUCCACAGCACAGACGAGGUGCCGCAGUGGCGAAAGAAAAGCGCUUUAAGGGAUGAGGAUUCAACUAUUUCCCCGGGCAGCCUGUGCCAGUCUUUGAGAGCCCUUCCAGUGAAGAAGUUUCUCCUGAUGUCCAACCUAAACCUCACCUGGGGCAACUUGAAGCCAUUUCCUCUUUUUCUGUUGCUUGUUACUAGGGAGAAGGGACCAACUCCCACCUGCCUCCCUGCCUUCAGGGAGUUGUAAAGAGCCAGAAGGUCUUCCCUCAGCCUUCUGUUCUCCAGUCUAAACAAUCCCAGUUCCUUCAGCUGCUGCCCGUAAAGCUUGUUCACCAGUGUCCCUGUGAGCCACUGGCUGGGAGCAGUGGGAGCUGCUGAAGGGCUUUGCUCCAUCUGGAAGGAAGCAGAGCUGGCUAGGAAAACAGAAAAGUGUGGAGCCACAGAGCUCCCCAUUCUGUUCUCUGUGCAGGGUGGGGUUAAUCGAGGAAAGGGCAUCCCUGCUGUCUAAGGUCUCUCUGGGCAAGUCUGUGCUACCCAGGUCUGAGCAGAGCAGUGCUGAGCCCUUGCAGCAUUUUCAGAGCCAAAUAUUGAUCCACCCCAAGGAUGGGACUUGCUCCUGUUGGAAUGGCUGCUACUGGGGAUCCUGCAGGAGCCAAAUCAUGGAUGUUUGUGUCUCCAAAGGUCACAUCAUCUUAGGCAGGGCGAGGCUGGAGUCCUCUGACAGCCUUGUACAGCACAAGUAGGGUGUGUCUGGGGACAGCUUGGGACUAGAUGCAGGGAGACAGGAUGUCAGGGGGAGGUCGGAGUAGGCAUGAACAGCUGGAGAUCAAGGUGCAGGACCAACAAAACAUGAGACUGCUCCUGUCAAAAAGACAUCCAACUCUGAAAUACCUUGCUCCAACUCUGGCAUAGAGCAGUGAACUUCUGUCCUGGCCUUAUUUUCAAAGCUUCCCUCUGCUCCAUAGGCUGGAAAUCUGCUUUAUUCUAAAGGAAAUGUGGUACACACAAGGACUGGGCAUCUGCAAACCACCAGGCAUGGGCACGCUUGUGCUGCAGCAAGGCUCCCUCCUUGUGCCUUUGGGACAUGCCACAGGAACACAGCUGACCACGAGCCCCAUACUUCCAGUGGUCCAGCACAAGGCAGGAGCCUUUCUGCUGGGUGACUGUUGGUGUUGGGAGAGUGGCUCUUGACUUUGUGAGGCUGUCAGGAAAUCCAUAAAGCCUGCUGCACUUGACUGCUAUCAAAUAGAGCCUCCAGGCUCUCCUUUACAGAGAGGGAGUCUGGGCUCUGGUGCAGGGACGUGCCCCAGAUCUCCACUGCACCUCUCCCUUGCCAAGGCAGCCAUGAAGAUGUCUAGUUGGCCAUCACUUCAAUUGCAGAGAGCUGCUAGCGGUGUUCA